rnacentral:ncRNA from 1 species
CCACUAAAUGAUAAGCUUUAGCUUUAUCAUAAUAUUCCCAAGUGAAUUUCUCGGGAAAACUUACCAGGUCCGGACAAAAGGGUAUAAGAGAGAUUGAUAGCUCUUACUCGAAUCUAUAGGUGAUGGCACACAUUCUUAAUUCGUGGAGUGAUUUGCCUGGACGAGAUUCAAAAUCGAUGCUUUCAGGAUUAUGGUGUUGAAGCUUUUAUGGCCUUCAUUUAGGAGCAUAGUAAGAUGUGUGAGUGUGUGAAUGUGUUUAUAAAAGUGGCGCCGUAACGGUUGGUUUGUCCUUUUAAAGAACACUAGCUUCUUAGGCAGACAAACUGCGUCUAGUAAUACUAAAAUUGAGCAAUAACAGGUCUGUGAUGACAUUAGAUGUCCUGGGCUGCACGCGCCCUACCACGAAUGUAUCAACGUGUAUUUCCUCGACCGAGAGGCCCAGGUAAGCCGCUGAAACGCUUUCAUGCUUGAGAUUGCCAAUUGAAACUUUUCACAUGAACUUGGAGUUCCCAGUAAGUGUGAGUCAUUAACUCGCAUUGAUUACGUGCC